ACCUUGAGUUCACUUAGGGUUGUAAAGCUCUUUCGCACGCGACGAUGAUGACGGUAGCGUGAGAAGAAGCCCCGGCUAACUUCGUGCCAGCAGCCGCGGUAAUACGAAGGGGGCGAGCGUUGUUCGGAAUUACUGGGCGUAAAGGGCGCGUAGGCGGCCUGUUUAGUCAGAAGUGAAAGCCCCGGGCUUAACCUGGGAACGGCUUUUGAUACUGGCAGGCUUGAGUUCCUGGAGCAGGAUGGUGGAAUUCCCACGUGUAGAGGUGAAAAUUCGUAGAUUAUUGGGAAGAACACCGGUGGCGAAGGCGGCCAAUCUGGACGGACACUGACGCUUAGGGCGCGAAAGGUGGGGGCAGCAAACAGGAUUAGAUAUCCUGGGUUGGGCACGCCCGUAUAACGAUGAAAUGCUAGACGCUGGGGUGAAUGACCUUCGGUGUCGCACCUAACGCAGUAAGCAUUCCGCCUGGGGAGUACGACCGCAAGGUUAAAACUCAAAGGAAUUGACGGGGGCCCGCACAAGCGGUGGAGCAUGUGGUUUAAUUCGAAGCAACGCGCAGAACCUUACCAAGCCUUGACAUGUCCCACUACCGGCUCGAGAGAUUCGAGCUUUCAUGUUCGGCUGGGGUGGACACAGUGUGCUGCAUUGGUUGUCGUCAGCUCGUGUCGUGAGAUGUUGGGUAUAGUCCGCAACGAGCGCAACCCCUACCGUCAGUUGCCAUCAUUCAGUUGGGCACUCUGGGUGGAACCUGCCGGUGACAAGCCCGGAGGAAGGCGGGGAUGACGUCAAGUCCUCAUUGNCCUUUAUGGGUUGGGCUACACACGUGCGUACAAUGUGGCGGUGACAGUGGGAAGCGAAGUCGCAAGAUGGGAGCCAAUCCCCAAAAGCCGUCUCAGUUCGGAUUGCACUCUGCAACUCGGUGCAUGAAGUUGGAAUCGCUAGUAAUCGCGGAUCAGCUACGCCGCGGUGAAUACGUUCCCGGUCAUGUGUACACACUCGCCCGUCACAACAUGGGAGUGUGCGUUAUCACGAAGUGGGUGCUGCUACACGCAGGAUACUCUUGCCGUUCCAUCUU
rnacentral:rRNA from 1 species